CAUGCAAGUCGAGCGGGCCCUUCGGGGUCAGCGGCGGACGGGUGAGUAACGCGUGGGAACGUGCCUUCUGGUUCGGAAUAACCCUGGGAAACUAGGGCUAAUACCGGAUACGCCCUUUUGGGGAAAGGUUUACUGCCGGAAGAUCGGCCCGCGUCUGAUUAGCUAGUUGGUGGGGUAACGGUCUACCAAGGCGACGAUCAGUAGCUGGUCUGAGAGGAUGAUCAGCCACACUGGGACUGAGACACGGCCCAGACUCCUACGGGAGGCAGCAGUGGGGAAUAUUGGACAAUGGGCGCAAGCCUGAUCCAGCCAUGCCGCGUGAGUGAUGAAGGCCUUAGGGUUGUAAAGCUCUUUUAUCCGGGACGAUAAUGACGGUACCGGAGGAAUAAGCCCCGGCUAACUUCGUGCCAGCAGCCGCGGUAAUACGAAGGGGGCUAGCGUUGCUCGGAAUCACUGGGCGUAAAGGGCGCGUAGGCGGCGUUUUAAGUCGGGGGUGAAAGCCUGUGGCUCAACCACAGAAUGGCCUUCGAUACUGGGACGCUUGAGUAUGGUAGAGGUUGGUGGAACUGCGAGUGUAGAGGUGAAAUUCGUAGAUAUUCGCAAGAACACCGGUGGCGAAGGCGGCCAACUGGACCAUUACUGACGCUGA
rnacentral:rRNA from 1 species